AUCAGACAGUUCUUAGAAGAUCCAAGUGUGAAGAGCAAGAGACAAAACAUAACACAGAGCAGUCAUGCCGUACGUGUAGCAAAGGUUGUUUGUCAACGUCUGCAUUUCGUCUGCUGAGAAGUUGUUCUCAUCCCAGAGGACAUGGUAGUGAGCUGGCCUACUUGUUCCCUGGUGAGAGAACUCACACAUCAGUCAUUUCGUCAAUCACAAGAGGGUGGAGAAUCUGGGGUAAAUAUUCCCAUACUUCUAGUACAGCACUUUUGCAGGUAACUAGGUGCAGUGAGAGCUUUGUUGAAAAGAGAGUACCAAGUCUAUUCAAAUGCUUGACCACAAAGGCACGGGACCAGAGCAACGACAAAUUCAGUAUUUGUCAGCCGUCAGCAAGGACCAGUACAAUAUUCUUACCUGGAUUCCAGCGUGACUACAGAGGUAGAAAUCAAACUCCGUUGGGUGGCAUAUCUUCGAAUCAACAACAGUUCCUGUAAUUUUUCCCAAGCAAUUAGUCCUUGUAUUACCAAGACAAUGGAAAUACAUAUUACAUACAGUAUCUUAUACACACACAAAAAUAGUGUCCUACAAUGAGCACACCCAAAUUUCCUUUCUGAAAAUUAUUUAGCUUACCCAAAUUGUGUUUCAAUAGUUUCAACAAACUGUGGUUCUGAACGCAUAUCAUGAAAAAGUAGUUCUCCCUCCAA